UUGUGGAGAAGGACGCCGAAGGUGGGGCUGAUGACUGGGGUGAAGUCGUAACAAGGUAGCCGUACCGGAAGGUGCGGCUGGAUCACCUCCUAACAGGGAGACAAUAAAUUGAUUGUGAUGUCUAAGUUUUUUAUUCUUAGGCCGCAAUCCUGUCACCUUAAGGUCGAUCGGUACCUCAGAUUUUAGAAUUAAUUUUAUAAUUUAUUCUUUUAUUUCAGUUCCUAAACUUGUCUAGGUCACACCCAACAAAGGUUUCUCCUGGGCCAUUAGCUCAGGUGGUUAGAGCGCACCCCUGAUAAGGGUGAGGUCCCUGGUUCAAGUCCAGGAUGGCCCAUUCGUUGUUGGGGGUAUAGCUCAGUUGGUAGAGCGCCUGCUUUGCAAGCAGGAUGUCAGCGGUUCGAGUCCGCUUACCUCCACUGAAAACUAUCCUGAUAACUAAAUUCUGGAGAAAAAUUUGUAGAUGUGGCUUAGAAUUGUCUAUUGAAAAGAACCUAGCUUCUUAUCAUCUUUUAUAUAGUUGAUAACAUGCUGGGCUCCCAUGGAUUUAUUUCAUGAGAAUUCAGUAGAACCUUGGAAACUGCAUAGAUUAGAAAGAAUAAAGCAUCUCAUGGAUGCAUAAUUCUGUUUUGAUAAUUUAGCCUUAAAACUAAAUUAUUAUUAUAAGAAUUCAUGUUUAAUUCUUGAGUAAAAGCCGAGCACAAUUGAUUUUUUGAUUGUAUUUAAGGUCAAGCUACAA
rnacentral:misc_RNA from 1 species